AGUGCUUCUUUGGCAGUGUCUUAGCUGGUUGUUGUGAGUAAUAGCGAAGGAAGCAAUCAGCAAGUAUACUGCCCUAGAAGUGCUG
rnacentral:pre_miRNA from 2 species